UCUAUAGUCACAGGUUCCCUUGCAGCUUCCCUUCGAACAGCGGAUUCUCUAGUUACCCACUUACUUCGAACAGCGGAUUCUCUAGUUAACCCACUUAAUAUAUAAUGUAAGUUAAUAAACACUCCACUGUCAAAACCACUUGCUGCUGACGAUUUCACUCUAACUCAAACAACACUUUCUUUCCUUCCCGCUUCGGCUUCCCCACCGGAUCCUGUUCCAUAAGAUUCUUCUUCACAACACUCUUCUGCUUCUAUAGACUUCGAUACUGAAUCAUCACUUACGGACCGCUUCACUGAUUGAUUGCCUCUCUAUACGACAAGGAGCCUAAGACGACUUGACUUUUAUACCCUACCCCGCACAGCAUCUUCUUGAGUCGAUUCAAUUCCACCAUCUUCGCUCUGUUUGUUUACGCUAUUCUAUAAGUGGUGGUACACUCUCUUCACAAUCCGCAAGCAAGCACGAAAGCCUUAGUGAUUAAAGCUUAAAGUCAGCUGUAAGGUGAGGUUACUAAUAUGGAGGAAGUGCAUUCAAUUAAUAAUCAUCCAGAAUCAAGGGAGCGGGGUGCUAACGUGAGAAAGAACAUUCCACUUAUUAUUCCGUUGCGUGCUGGGCAGAGUAAAUAGCAGCCUAAGUACUAAUGGGAGUUUGCAAGGAACAAGGAAGCAAGAAAACAACGAACGAACUUAUAAUGCGGAAAACAGACGUUGCUUCUUCAUUAUACUAAGUUUGUUUGUUUCAGGGGUGCCUACGCCUAUGUCCUGAAUGUAUAGGGCUGUCUACAGUCGAUUAUUUAGAGUCUGAAGGAUUACUAGUUUCUAUAUAAUAGUGAGUGAUUGAAAUUCUGUAUUGGCAAGGGAACAGGCAAACUAGUCCACUAGUGAAAUACUUUCUUUAGAAUAUGCUAACUAUAUGCUUCAAGUAGAAUAUGCUAACUAGAUUCUUAAAGCAACUUCGGGUUACCUCUUUUCGACAAGCAAGGGAAGUGAACAAACAAGCUUAGGGUAUCGUAGAUGGAAAGCCUAAGUGCUGACGUUUCGGUGUUGUAGGUUCGCUUUUGGGGUGCCUUAGCAUACUUCUCCUUUGGCGGCCCCGGGCAAUAAGUAUGGAAAGGUGCGCUUACUGAUCUGUUGUAAGCGUUUACGUGAGUUUGUUUGCCGUAAUAAACAACGACGAAAGCAAGCGUAUAAAGUCAAAGUGCUGUAGGAGUAGUUAAGCGAGUAACGGAGCGGAGAGUUAGAGUUUAGUUACACCUAUGUUAAACUAUGCUCAUGGAAACACUUAUAUAUAGAGAAUAGAUGUUGGACAGUAGCCACUACGUGGGGAAAGAUUGUCAAACAAACAGCUUACUCUCAUAUCAGUGAAACUAAGUAGCCGUGUCUCUCGGGGGGAAAGAUUCUCAAACGAGACUACAUCUCCCUCGCUUCACCACCCUAUGCCUCUGUCUCUGUCCUGCAAGUGAACAUCCGCCUCUGUCCUUUAAUAAAAGAGAAAUCAUUUGAACAAGUAAUGGCUUAACCGCUUAUUCAGUUUCAUGGGUGCUGGAGCUUAUGGGUGUUUCGGGGUGCUCUAACGAUUAUUCAGUUUCCGGGGUGCAUUAGUUAGUUAGCUUACUUUACCUUUAGCUUACUUUUAUAGGGGUCGGGGUGCCGAUAUUCAUUCUUAUAGCUUUGUGCCUCCAUUCAAUGGAUAUGCAGUUGUUUAAUGACCCUAUAUAGAUAUGUAGUGCUCCAAAGAAUCAAUUUGACUUGACUUACACUGGCCUACUCUCUUUACUUACCAGUUAAUGCUCAAGCGCUAUCGUCGUCAGUGGAGUUAUGAGUUAUGCUUACGUGGGUUCGUAUAUAAGAACAUAAUAAGAGUGAUAUAGAUGCUCUAAAAUGAAUAAGUAAUUAGAGAGGAAGCCCGCGCUAUAGCUAUAGUAAUUCGCUAACGCACAAGGGCUAGCCAAGCAACGGCCAAGCGUAUACGUCAGUUGCU
rnacentral:lncRNA from 1 species